rnacentral:rRNA from 1 species
AUGCAUAGGAAUCUGCCCGGUAGUGGGGGAUAACCUGGGGAAACCCAGGCUAAUACCGCAUACGUCCUACGGGAGAAAGGGGGCUCCGGCUCCCGCUAUUGGAUGAGCCUAUGUCGGAUUAGCUGGUUGGUGAGGUAAUGGCUCACCAAGGCAACGAUCCGUAGCUGGUCUGAGAGGAUGAUCAGCCACAUCGGGACUGAGACACGGCCCGAACUCCUACGGGAGGCAGCAGUGGGGAAUAUUGGACAAUGGGGGCAACCCUGAUCCAGCCAUGCCGCGUGUGUGAAGAAGGCCCUCGGGUUGUAAAGCACUUUCAGCGAGGAAGAACGCCUGGCGGUUAAUACCCGCCAGGAAAGACAUCACUCGCAGAAGAAGCACCGGCUAACUCCGUGCCAGCAGCCGCGGUAAUACGGAGGGUGCAAGCGUUAAUCGGAAUUACUGGGCGUAAAGCGCGCGUAGGUGGCUUGAUAAGCCGGUUGUGAAAGCCCCGGGCUCAACCUGGGAACGGCAUCCGGAACUGUCAGGCUAGAGUGCAGGAGAGGAAGGUAGAAUUCCCGGUGUAGCGGUGAAAUGCGUAGAGAUCGGGAGGAAUACCAGUGGCGAAGGCGGCCUUCUGGACUGACACUGACACUGAGGUGCGAAAGCGUGGGUAGCAAACAGGAUUAGAUACCCUGGUAGUCCACGCCGUAAACGAUGUCGACCAGCCGUUGGGUGCCUAGCGCACUUUGUGGCGAAGUUAACGCGAUAAGUCGACCGCCUGGGGAGUACGGCCGCAAGGUUAAAACUCAAAUGAAUUGACGGGGGCCCGCACAAGCGGUGGAGCAUGUGGUUUAAUUCGAUGCAACGCGAAGAACCUUACCUACCCUUGACAUCCUGCGAACCCGGAAGAGAUUCCGGGGUGCCUUCGGGAACGCAGAGACAGGUGCUGCAUGGCUGUCGUCAGCUCGUGUUGUGAAAUGUUGGGUUAAGUCCCGUAACGAGCGCAACCCUUGUCCUUAUUUGCCAGCGAGUAAUGUCGGGAACUCUAAGGAGACUGCCGGUGACAAACCGGAGGAAGGUGGGGACGACGUCAAGUCAUCAUGGCCCUUACGGGUAGGGCUACACACGUGCUACAAUGGCCGGUACAAAGGGCUGCGAGCUCGCGAGAGUCAGCGAAUCCCUUAAAGCCGGUCUCAGUCCGGAUCGGAGUCUGCAACUCGACUCCGUGAAGUCGGAAUCGCUAGUAAUCGUGAAUCAGAAUGUCACGGUGAAUAC